GGAGGAGUCACGCCUGAAGCCACACAGCUGACAUCAGAGCCAAAGCAUGAGCCUCAGUCUCUCUGACCCAGAGCUACCACCCUUGCUGCCUUGGGAAGAAGGAAGCCCCCUCCUAUUCUAUCCUUGAGCUGCCUUGGCAAGGAGGGGCCCCUUGCUGCCGCCAUCCUCACAGGACACCAUCCACAUGAGGGGAUGAAUCUCAGUUGCACUCAGUUGUUGCCCCCCUCGAACCUCCCUUGAGCCUCAGGAGAAACCACCCUGAUUCAGAGGUCCAGAGAAGACCUGACUAGCCCAAGGUAAUUCCGUCCC
rnacentral:lncRNA from 10 species